GCCUUAGUGGGCAGAAGGUCAAGGAUGCUAGUGACCUGAUGACGAGGGAGCCGACGAUCGAAGCCUUGGUGAAUGGUGGUCGUAACUAUAACGGUCCUAAGGUACCGAAAUUCCUUAUUGGGUAAGCUAUGUCCGGACAG
rnacentral:ncRNA from 1 species